CACAGAAUUGUCAGGGCUACUUUCUGUCUCGGUGUGAUUGGAAAUAAGACUGAAAACGGUACCUUAGCAAGAAGAUGUGCAUAUGCCUCUAAAGUUGGGUUUUCAAGAGACAAAAGAAACACAAACAAGAACUCACGAUGUUCUUAUAACACCAGCUAAGUGGGCUUUGACGUAUGCUGAGAUCAGAGAGUAAGAUGCAUGCUGCACCAUGGGAACAAGGAUCUUAUGAGGAUAUUUGGUAUCUAUAAUAUACCAUCUUAAAAGAAAAUCCGGAAUUGCUCACCUCCACCUGCAAAUAAAUGUGGAAAGAAGCAGCCUGGACAGAUUUACCCUUACAGAACAUAAUUAUGAUAAUAGCUACACAUAGAUUUAUUUAAGAUUACCCCUAUUCUUGGAAUUUUCUUAAAGAUUUGUGGAACUCUUAGCAUCUCCUCUUCCUUAUUUUUUUUCUCCUGGUAGUGCAGUGUGAUGAUCAGGUUCAGUGUCUAAUGAGGCAGCCAUUCUGAACACGUAGAGACAAAGAAGAGGUUUCCCUGGCAACGAGGACCAUGCCAGAGCUCUCAGAACAGUUAUUUCCCCUGUAUUCAGGUUCCUUUUCUGUUUAGGAUGCCUAUUAGUGUGAGUUCACAGGCAAGGCCUGGCAAGCUUUUCAGAGAUUACAGCUCCUAAAUAUACAUAACAAAAUACAGCUAAGGCUAUGAUUUAUG